ACAAGGAGAAACAAAGAACAAGGCGAGACAUUGCAAGCAAAAGAAGAAGAGGUGGAGUCUGAAGGGACGCUCCCCCUCAACGCCCCCUUGGGGAGCCAGGAAGAAAGGACACAGGACAGUGGAGGGACGGACAAUGCCGAGCCCGGCCGCGCUCCCGAAGGAGGGAAAAGCGGCGAGCGCGAAGGAUGGCGGGCAGAGUUUCCUUGGGGCGCUUAGUUGCGCUCUUGUGGGGCUAAACUCCACGUGACGCAAAGCGCGUCACCGUUCGGUUGCGCGGCUGCUUCUCCACGGCCGGAGGGGCUGCCCUCACUCCCUCCCUUUCCCACUAGGCGCUGGGGUCUCCGCUCCGGACGGAGCCGAAAGGCGGCCCCCCGGCGACGGCACCGCAGCCGCUCUUCUCCGGCGGAGGCAGUGGGUGGGAAUUACGUGCGAGCGAGCGGGCGGAGGAGGGUGAGAAAGAACUUGGCGGACCGCCUGACUAGGUGGGCUCCGGCUGUUGCGCUGCUCCAAGUUCGGGGAGACGCGGGAGAAGGGCGCCCGCCAAGAACUUCGCCACAGGUGCCGCCCUCCACGUUUGCUGCUUCUUCGGCAGUGCUUCAGAGGCAGGAGACUCGUCGCUCUGGGGAUUUGGGCUUUUCUCUUUGCAGCUGCCCUAUAUUCUGUGGGGGGGGGGGAGGAGGAAGAAGAGAAGGGGGUCUGCCUCGCUUUGCAACACACGCUUGUUUUGUUCAUCCACGUCCCGCCACCGGAACAGCAACGCCGGGGAAAAAAAGUUACAAAGCUCGUGUGGGACAGCGAGGUGUGGCGGGAAUUAGCCUUCGGCUUCCUUCCCCCUUUAAAAGCAUAACAACAUGGGUUUGGCUUGGAGUAGACUCCUCUUUCCUCCCUCCCUUCCUUCCUUGAAUCGCCUUGCCUUGUGUUAAAAAGAGCUUGUCGGCGGCACGGAAGAGUGGCUGGGUGGGAUAUCUGGAGAGAGAGAGAGAUGUGGGGAUAACAAUAACAGCAACAACAGUAAUCGUAACGAAAAGGGACGCCUGGUUCCAGAGUGACGACAAAUCCAAGCGGAAAAAGUCGAGCCGGCUGGUUUAAUUUUGUUUAGUUUUGUCGCGGAGGGGGGAGAGUUACAGUCCUUUUACAAGCUCUGGCGUUGGUGACAUAAUGGAGCCAGUUCUGCAGGUGCAGCAACAGGAAGUUGGAUGACAGGAACAGUGAUCCUAAAAAUGUAUGAGGUGUCUUAGGUGUUCAAAUGAGAAGACUGGAUUGUUGAGCAUUGUAUGAUGAAAGAAAGGUGUAACAUUCCCAGCUAGCCUUCUCUUAAGUGAAUCUCAUUCUAUUGGCCAACUCCAAUCUCCUUCUACAUGCCAGGAACUGACCAUCUGAAUAGAAUUCAGUCUGUUCUGAGCAGCUGUUGAAGAAUUAGCAAUGAAAAGAGGACAACUAGACUACUUAAAUCCCUUCUGACUGAAAACAAACUGGCCACCAGAGCCAUAAUCUUUAGGCAUGACUUUGGAUCAUGUACUGUAUAUGCAGUAUAUUAACUACUUUAAGGGUUUUCUGAAGACUGCCUGGCUGACUGUUUGAAGCUGUGUUAAAUUGAGUCUGUUAAUUGUGGUUGACAACAGCCCUCUGGGGCCUUAGAUAGAAGAUUUUUGCCAGACAUAAUGGUGAAGAUGGGUAAACUGGGAAGGGUGCAAAGAAAGCCAAUGAGGACAAUCAAAGAUAGAUGCAUUACCAAUUCAUGAAUGGCUCUUGGUGGCUUACCAAAACAUACAUAGUCAGCACAACGCAGAAUGAAAACCCUUAGUAAAAGAAACAUUAAAAAAAACCUCGCUUGGAAUGUAAUAAACUGAUGACAAGUCUCAUCUCCAACUACAGUUUGGUCCCCAAUGUGAGCUUUGCAGUGAAAAAGCAUGGUUUAUCUACUCAUUUUAAUGUUAUUUUUAAAAAAAAUGUCUUGAAGAUUUGAGAGUGUGGAGAAGAUUAUACCAGAAUAGGAGGUCUUGCAGAUAACUUGGGGACUAAGGCAUGUAAUAGUUGCUGAAUGAACCCUGCCGUUAUGAUUUAUGUGACUAACUGUGCUUUACUGUGCUAUUUGAACCCAGUGUCAUGAAGUUCAUAGUCCAAGUGCUUGUGGAAAAACACAUUUUAUUCUUAUAGUUGUUCCUAUAAAGUUUCCUUUCCUUU